GCCCAGCUAGCUCAGUCGGUAGAGCAUAGGACUCUUAAUCCCAGGCUUGUGGGUUCAAGCUCCAUGUUGGGUG
rnacentral:tRNA from 1 species